CCCCCUGGCAAUGGACAAAGAGACACCUCAUGGUGGAGGUGUUCUUAUAUCAGUUGAGGGCAGAGCAGAUGGUGUCCUUUGUUCACCCUGGCUUGAUGCCUGGCUCAGUGGUCAAAGCUGUUUCAUGCCUAGGACACAUUC